UUCCAGGGCCCUACGGGGCGCAGCAGGCGCGAAACCUCCGCAAUGCACGCAAGUGCGAACGGGGGAACCCCAAGUGCCACUCUUAAUCGGGGUGGCUUUUCAGAAGUGUAAAAAGCUUCUGGAAUAAGGGCUGGGCAAGACCGGUGCCAGCCGCCGCGGUAACACCGGCAGCUCAAGUGGUAGCCGCUUUUAUUGGGCYUAAAGCGUCCGUAGCCGGUCUGAUAAGUCUCUGGUGAAAUCCCACAGSYUWAACUGUGGGAAUUGCUGGAGAUACUAUCAUGACUNCGAGGUCGGGAGAGGCUGGAGGUACUCCCAGGGUAGGGGUGAAAUCCUGUAAUCCUGGGAGGACCACCUGUGGCGAAGGCGUCCAGCUGGAACGAACCUGACGGURAGGGACGAAAGCCAGGGGCGCGAACCGGAUUASAUACCCGGGUAGUCCUGGCCGUAAACRAUGUGGACUUGGUGUUGGGAUGGCUUCRA
rnacentral:rRNA from 1 species